rnacentral:tRNA from 1 species
CCGUAGCUCAGUUGGUAGAGCAUUUCAUUCGUAAUGAAGAGGUCGGAGGUUCGAAUCCUCUCGGU